rnacentral:lncRNA from 1 species
UUUAGCAAUCCCACAUCGGAAAGUGAGAGGAACAAGGAGUCAAAUGACUCCUAUAAAAGCCAUCCUCAGCAAAGGCUUAAGAUAGGCUUGUGGGCUCAAAACUCAGCCCACAUAAAGUGGAAUGGGUAUGUGGGCUGUGUCAUAGGACAGGCCCAACAUCCUUUAGUAAAAUCCAUUUUAAGUUCCAUGGAAUCCUUGGUAAUAUUUUCAUUUUGUAAUUUUUUUUAAAGAAAAAUUAAAAUCUUUUGAAUCGGUCGGUUUUUUUGGAACCGGUCGGUUCGUCCGGUUCACUGGUUGAACUGCCGGUUUGAAUGGUUCAACCCCGGUUCGAUCUCAAUCCGGUCCAAAUGAUCGAAUCGGACCGGAAUGGUGACCGGCCGACGAUUGGACCGGUCCGACCAGCCGGUCCGAUCCGAUUUUUAAAACAUUG